rnacentral:rRNA from 8 species
GGGUUGUGAGGUUAAGCGACUAAGCGUACACGGUGGAUGCCCUGGCAGUCAGAGGCGAUGAAGGGCGUGCUAAUCUGCGAUAAGCGCCGGUAAGGUGAUAUGAACCGUUAUAACCGGCGAUACCCGAAUGGGGAAACCCAGUGU